GGCUCAGUGGUGUAGUGGUUAUCAUCCACCUGUCGGGUAAAUAUUCUUCCCAUUCUCUAUCAUAAAGAGACUUAACAAGGUGUGGUCCUGGGUUCAAAUCCCAGCUGAGCCC